GCCGGGGUAGCCUAGCCAGGGAAGGCGCCGGACUCGAGAUCCGGUUCCCCAUAAGGGGAACGAGGGUUCAAAUCCCUCCCCCGGCG
rnacentral:tRNA from 1 species